CUAUCAAUUAUCGUCAAGCACCACUCCCUCAGGCCUCAGCACUCUACUCUACCAACGCCCGCCGCAAAAAUUAAGACAGCACCAUGAACUUUCUGCGCAAAAACUUCAUCAAAACUUGCAAAAUUCACACUCAUCUCAACCCAUGUUCUCUUUCAUCUCCAUUCUCCACUAAUUUCUCUUCUUCUCAACAAAAGUUUCAAGCUUUUUCUCCAAUGGAGAAGAAAGAAUUGGCAAGACCCAGUGAAAUUCCCUUCCAACCGAAGGUGGCUAAUUGGGUCAAUUUUGUUGGUACUGUAAGAACCCCAGUUGAAUUUUGUACUUCAGUUGAUGGGAAAUCAUGGGCUAGCACUAUUAUUUCUCAACGGCAGCAUUUUUCUGCUCUAUCUUCUCUCUGGAUUUCCGUGGUAUUUGAAGGUGAAUUGGCUGAAACUGCUGCUACCCAUGUGAAGGAAAACCAUUAUAUAUAUGUAGGCGGACACCUGAGUGGACAUCGCUUGCCAAUCAAUAUGACUAAUGACCAAGUAACUCUUCAGAGCUGUAUGUGAGACCCUUUUCUCUCUCCCGCAUAAUGCUGCAAGGAAUCGACAGGGAAACUCUAGACCAUUGCUUACAUAUGUAAGAAAGGGCAAAAGAGGGAAUUGAAUCACAUUUGCCACAUCGCAGUUGCUUACAAGUUAAAACAGAAGGAUUAUUUCUGCUAAAAUAUCUGGAGGACUGACAAGUUAGCUAUGAGCUGUAAAUAGGACUAUAACUAAUAGCAAUGAGGUGAUGGUUCAUGAUCUAUAUUUCGUUCGAUUUCAGGAUCAUAGUGAAAAGCUGCAUGUGCUUGAUAAAGUAUAUAGGUGAUUGUCUACAAUUUGUUCACUUCCAGCAUUAUAGAGAAAAGAUGUACAUGCUUGAUCAAGUAUAUAGGUAAAUCGACAGCUACUGAGAUAUGGAAAACCUCCUACAUGUGAAGAUAUUCAACAAGUAGAGGAUCACUGAACCAAGUAAGCCAGUGGAUAGACAACGGUUCCAGAGUCGGGUGAACGAUGAAAUAAUCGAGGAAACGCAAAACUGCUCCGCCAUAUUAUCACAGAAAAUCGACCUUUUGGUGUCGUAAUCUAUCAUUAUAUUGUAUUUAGGCAUAUAUAGUGGUUUGAUUAGUGACUAAUCCAGCAGCCUAAACAUCAUGACAGUGAUGGGAAAUGUGGUAGUUUCACUUGUAAAAACCACAUACAGAGAGGAACAAUUCCUUCAACAUGUACAUAGAAUAAGAUGAUGUAAAUUUUUGGUGAUUUUAAAUGUUGGAGAUUGAGAAAGUAUCUACUUUUUUUUUUA